rnacentral:rRNA from 1 species
CACGUAGGCACCAAGCGUUGUCCGGAUUUAUUGGGCGUAAAGAGCUCGUAGGCGGUUCGAUAAGUCGGGUGUGAAAACUUUGGGCUCAACCCAAAGCGUGCAUUCGAUACUGUUGUGACUAGAGUUCGGUAGGGGAGUGGGGAAUUCCUAGUGUAGCGGUGAAAUGCGCAGAUAUUAGGAGGAACACCGAUGGCGAAGGCAGGUCUCUGGGCAUUAACUGACGCUGAGGAGCGAAAGCGUGGGGAGCGAACAGG